rnacentral:misc_RNA from 1 species
AAGAGGACGUUGCCCUUCGGGGUAUACCUCCCACCCUUUGUUUAUUAUACCUUUGUUGCUUUUGGCGGGCCCGUCCUCGGACCACCGGCUUCUGCUGGUCAGUGCCCGCCAGAGGACCUAAAACUCUGUUUGUUAAUAUUGUCUGAGUACUAUAUAAUAGUUUA